AUGAACCGACAAUUCCUGUACAUGACGGCCAUGAACGUCAAAAGGGGCUCAUACACUCUGCCCCGCAUCAAGGCGUCACAACUGUUUUACCCCAAGGGUGCACCUGACUCUGCGCCUGCGGCGGUGGAGGUCCGUUCCAUGCCGCCACCAACAAUGGCUUUCUACCCUCCUCGGAAUAAGAUCGUCUGCACAGAUGAGAGAGGUCGAGCCGUCUUAUAUGAUGACGGCCUGCAAGCUGUCUGCAUGUUGCCAAGCCUCAGAAAGCCCAAAUGGAAAUCAGUGCCCCUCGCCAUUGGUGGCAACCUGUUGGUCAUGGAGGCGAUCCCUAAGAACGAUCAAGAGAAGGAACAUCAAUCUUUCGAGGCGCUUAUGUACGGCGAAAGGCCUAAAAUAUUCAAGGGGUUGGAGUUUUCUGGCACUCCAUCCCGCCGCCGCCUUAUGUCUAUACCCCUGGAUACGGCAUCGACCGUUCUGGUGUGA
rnacentral:rRNA from 1 species